CCUCAACCUGGACGGCAAUCAGGUGUUGAGUGUAAGUGCACAAGGGAGCUUGACUGCGAGACGGACAUGUCGAGCAGGGACGAAAGUCGGGACUAGUGAUCCGGCACCUCUGAGUGGAAGGGGUGUCGCUCAACGGAUAAAAGGUACCCCGGGGAUAACAGGCUGAUCUUCCCCAAGAGUCCAUAUCGACGGGAUGGUUUGGCACCUCGAUGUCGGCUCGUCGCAUCCUGGGGCUGGAGCAGGUCCCAAGGGUUGGGCUGUUCGCCCAUUAAAGCGGCACGCGAGCUGGGUUUAGAACGUCGUG
rnacentral:rRNA from 1 species